CAAAAGAUUGGAGCUGAAGACCUUAAGUGCUUGCUUUUUGCCCGUUGACCAGAUAAAUAGAACUAUCUGCAUUAUCUAUGCAGCAUGGGAUUUUUAUUAUUUUUACCUAAAGACGUCUCUUUUUGGUAAUAACAAACGUGUUUUUUAAAAAAGCCUGGUUUUUUUCAAUACGCCUUUAAAGGUUUUUAAAUUGUUUCAUAUCUGGUCAAGUUGAGAUUUUUAAGAACUUCAUUUUUAAUUUGUAAUAAAAGUUUACAACUUGAUUUUUUCAAAAAAGUCAACAAACUGCAAGCACCUGUUAAUAAAGGUCUUAAAUAAUUGUCAAAAAAAAAA
rnacentral:lncRNA from 1 species